rnacentral:lncRNA from 1 species
GUAAUACCCCAGAAAAGGAAAAAAAAAAGAGGGGUGGACGGGCCGGCCCGAAAAGACCGGGCCCAUCCACCAUAUACGAUCGUGCCCUAGGCACGAUCGUGGGAGAAGAAACACACACACGCACAAAAAAAAAGGGGGCAGCGGCGACAUUAGAGGGGAUCGCCGGAGAGACGAGCGCCGGAGGGAGGAACCGGCCGGCCGCGGAGGAAGCCGGAAGCUUUUCCCUCCCUCGGUGAAGAUCCCCCACAAAUCGGGAGAAGAAGUCUCGGAUCCAUGCGUGAAAACCCAAGACCCUUCUCCGAUUUCUCGCCGGAAGGAUCGCCGGAACGCCCCGCCGGACCGAGGUAAUCCUUCCUUUGUGUUUUAUUUUCUGGAUUUUGGGUGGCAUGGGUAAAGUGUUGGCCGGUGAAUCAUCGGAGAAGAGCCCGAAACAGGGUACCCCUGUUUCGGCCUCUUCUUUCCAAUUUUUGGCCGCCGCCGGCCGCCGGGAUGGCCGAGAUGCAUGGCGGUGGGGCUGGUCGGGUUCGUAUGAAGGUCGGAGAGGGUUUUCUAGGCUGUGUAUGUGAUGAGGGAGGGUGGAUCCGAGGUCCUCUUCCUCGGGAUCCCAACCUCUCCUCCUCUUCCCCUCGUCGGAUGGCCACCGGCGGCGACGGCGGCGGCGGUCGUGGGCCACCAUGGCUGCUGUCGGGUGGGGGGGGCAGCCGAGCCACCAUCACGGUGGCUGUGAGGAUGCUUGCCUUCUGUCAAUAAUGCAGGAAAGGGGGAGAGGACCCUUUCGGUUUUAAGGGAAGGAGAAGAAGAGGGAUCUUCUCUCCUCUCUUUCUUUCGCCGGCCACCAUCGCCGGCGACUGCAGCAGAGGCGGCCGACGAUGGUUCGGCCAGUGGUGGCCGAGGAUUGGGCAGGUGGCGGCUGCUGCCCUUGGGCCAAGAAAUGGGGAAGGGGAGAUGUAUUCCCAACCAUGAAGAGAGAGGAAUCAUCCCUUUAUGUUGGUCUGUUUACUGGGACCGGCCAUCAUCGCCGGCGUGGCAGCGGCCACGGCUGGCGACGACGUGGGCCGGUGGUACAAGGUGGGAGUCGGGCUACCCCGACUGUCCUAGAUCUGGAGGAAUUGAGAUGUUUGGGGGCCUGGUGAUGGACCCCAUAGUAGAUGUGAAUUAUGGUUUAGAAUAUCUAAAUAUUAAAUGAUUUAGUUUGUGAUUUGUAAUUAAUGUUGUAAAGGAAGAGUCGGCGGUGCCAGGAGAUUUUGAUCAGGGGACUCAGCACCCCAGCGUGUAGGUUGUGAUUCGGAUCCAUGUUUGAGUCAAUCUAUAAUCUCUGUAAGAAUCCCUACAUCUGAGCACUUCUAUUUAUACAUAUAUUGGAUUUAUAGUUGGAUAUAUUUUAUCAGUAUGUUGCUAUUUAUUUUUGAGCUUGUAUGACACUAUGAGGUGUGCAUUUUGUUUAUUAUGAAAGUAUUGGAAUAAUUAAAUUGGGAAGGAAUAACAUAUUUUUGAGAAAUUAUGAAAAUAUGUGACGUGAUUGAAAUGUGAUUAAACAUGUAAAACUAGACAUGUAAAAUGGAUUGGACUAACCUUGUCAUGAGAUAGCCUCUACGAGCUUAUGUGUAGGAUAGCUGCCUCGAGCUUAUGCGUGGGAUAGCCUCUACGAGCUUAUGCGUAGGAUAGCCUCCACGGGCUUACGCGUGGGAUAGCCUCUACGAGCUUAUGCGUAGGAUAGCCUCCACGGGCUUACGCGUGGGAUAGCUGCCACGAGCUUAUGCGUGGGAUUUGUGCAGUCUUGGACUGGGUCAUGAACUUGGUUAGUCCAACGCCAGAAGUAAAAAGUCUGAAGACUUGGGAAUCAUGGUAUUACGUGAAUGAAUCACGAAAUGUGAAAAAGGGAUUUAUGUAUACAAAAUGGUUAUUUACAUAUUUGUUGUUUGUUGAGCCUAAAAAGGAUUUGUGUAUAUGUACUGAUUAUAUACACUUGUUGUUGUUGAGCUUUUGAAAAGAUGAAAUGACAUUUAUUGACGUUUUGAUGAAAUGAUAUUAUUUUGAUGUUUUGAUCAUUUUAUCAUAAUUACUGUGUGUGGCUGUUGGGAUUCUUACUGGGCUGGAAAAGCUCAUACUACAUUUACUUUCUUUUUCAGAGGCACUGAAUUUGUAGAGAUCAAUGGGUGGGACGAGAAAUGAGAUCAGCAUGGAGUCUGAUUGCUGGAUAGAUAGGAGUUAAUCUAUCUUUUGUUUAUGGACAUUGAAAAAUUAUGUAAUAAAUCAGUACAUUUUGGUUGGAUUUGAUUUAAUUUCAUUAAUAAUUAAUUUUGGCAUUUAUGGAAUUAUUGGAAUUGUUGUUUAUCUUAGGCCUUGCAUGAUCUUUAGGGCAUUGCUCUAGGGCUCAUGCGGCCGGUCACGUGCCGGACCCGGGAGGUGGGUUCGGGGCGUGACAGAGUGGUAUCAGAGCUUAAGGUUAAGGUAUCCUAGGGUUUAGGUUCAGGUGAGUGUGAGUGGGAAAUUAUGACAGGAAAACUAUCAGAGCCUUGGUUUAUAAUCACCUGAGAUUGUAACAGGAAUGAUGUUGUAAUCUAAGGUUUAAGACCACUAGGGACUGUGGCCUUAGCN